GACGAACGCUGGCGGCGUGCCUAAUACAUGCAAGUCGAGCGGACCGAACGAGGGCUUGCUCUUGUUUGGUCAGCGGCGGACGGGUGAGUAACACGUGGGCAACCUGCCCGCAAGACCGGGAUAACUCCGGGAAACCGGAGCUAAUACCGGAUAACACCGAAGACCGCAUGGUCUUCGGUUGAAAGGCGGCCUUUGGGCUGUCACUUGCGGAUGGGCCCGCGGCGCAUUAGCUAGUUGGUGAGGUAACGGCUCACCAAGGCGACGAUGCGUAGCCGGGCUGGGAGGGUGAACGGCCACACUGGGACUGAGACACGGCCCAGACUCCUACGGGAGGCAGCAGUAGGGAAUCUUCCGCAAUGGGCGAAAGCCUGACGGAGCGACGCCGCGUGAGCGAAGAAGGCCUUCGGGUCGUAAAGCUCUGUUGUGAGGGACGAAGGAGCGCCGUUCGAAGAGGGCGGCGCGGUGACGGUACCUCACGAGAAAGCCCCGGCUAACUACGUGCCAGCAGCCGCAGUAA
rnacentral:rRNA from 1 species